CCUACGGGAGGCAGCAGUGAGGAAUAUUGGUCAAUGGGCGCGAGCCUGAACCAGCCAAGUCGCGUGAGGGAGGACGGCCCUACGGGUUGUAAACCUCUUUUGCCGGGGAGCAACGGGCGUCACGUGUGGCGCCACUGAGAGUACCCGGAGAAAAAGCAUCGGCUAACUCCGUGCCAGCAGCCGCGGUAAUACGGAGGAUGCGAGCGUUAUCCGGAUUUAUUGGGUUUAAAGGGUGCGUAGGCGGAUCGUUAAGUCAGUGGUCAAAUUGAGGGGCUCAACCCCUUCCCGCCAUUGAAACUGGCGUUCUUGAGUGGAAGAGAAGUAUGCGGAAUGCGUGGUGUAGCGGUGAAAUGCAUAGAUAUCACGCAGAACCCCGAUUGCGAAGGCAGCAUGCCGGCUUCCGACUGACGCUGAAGCACGAAAGCGUGGGGA
rnacentral:rRNA from 1 species